rnacentral:rRNA from 1 species
UUACCAUGCAGUCGAACGAUGAACUGGGUGCUUGCACCUGGGGAUUAGUGGCGAACGGGUGAGUAACACGUGAGCAACCUGCCCCUGACUCUGGGAUAAGCGCUGGAAACGGUGUCUAAUACUGGAUAUGAGCUCCUGCCGCAUGGUGGGGGUUGGAAAGAUUUUUUGGUUGGGGAUGGGCUCGCGGCCUAUCAGCUUGUUGGUGAGGUAAUGGCUUACCAAGGCGUCGACGGGUAGCCGGCCUGAGAGGGUGACCGGCCACACUGGGACUGAGACACGGCCCAGACUCCUACGGGAGGCAGCAGUGGGGAAUAUUGCACAAUGGGCGGAAGCCUGAUGCAGCAACGCCGCGUGAGGGAUGACGGCCUUCGGGUUGUAAACCUCUUUUAGCAGGGAAGAAGCUUUUGUGACGGUACCUGCAGAAAAAGCACCGGCUAACUACGUGCCAGCAGCCGCGGUAAUACGUAGGGUGCAAGCGUUAUCCGGAAUUAUUGGGCGUAAAGAGCUCGUAGGCGGUUUGUCGCGUCUGCUGUGAAAUCCCGAGGCUCAACCUCGGGCCUGCAGUGGGUACGGGCAGACUAGAGUGCGGUAGGGGAGAUUGGAAUUCCUGGUGUAGCGGUGGAAUGCGCAGAUAUCAGAGGAACACCGAUGGCGAAGGCAGAUCUCUGGGCCGUAACUGACGCUGAGGAGCGAAAGGGUGGGGAGCAAACAGGCUUAGAUACCCUGGUAGUCCACCCCGUAAACGUUGGGAACUAGUUGUGGGGUCCAUUCCACGGAUUCCGUGACGAAGCUAACGCAUUAAGUUCCCCGCCUGGGGAGUACGGCCGCAAGGCUAAAACUCAAAGGAAUUGACGGGGACCCGCACAAGCGGCGGAGCAUGCGGAUUAAUUCGAUGCAACGCGAAGAACCUUACCAAGGCUUGACAUACACCGGAAACGGCCAGAGAUGGUCGCCCCGUAAGGUCGGUGUACAGGUGGUGCAUGGUUGUCGUCAGCUCGUGUCGUGAGAUGUUGGGUUAAGUCCCGCAACGAGCGCAACCCUCGUUCUAUGUUGCCAGCACGUUAUGGUGGGAACUCAUGGGAUACUGCCGGGGUCAACUCGGAGGAAGGUGGGGAUGACGUCAAAUCAUCAUGCCCCUUAUGUCUUGGGCUUCACGCAUGCUACAAUGGCCGGUACAAAGGGCUGCGAUACCGUAAGGUGGAGCGAAUCCCAAAAAGCCGGUCCCAGUUCGGAUUGAGGUCUGCAACUCGACCUCAUGAAGUCGGAGUCGCUAGUAAUCGCAGAUCAGCAACGCUGCGGUGAAUACGUUCCCGGGUCUUGUACACACCGCCCGUCAAGUCAUGAAAGUCGGUAACACCUGAAGCCGGUGGCCUAACCCUUGUGAGGAG